AUUGAACGCUGGCGGCAUGCCUUACACAUGCAAGUCGAACGGUAACAGGUCUUCGGAUGCUGACGAGUGGCGAACGGGUGAGUAAUACAUCGGAACGUGCCUAGUAGUGGGGGAUAACUACUCGAAAGAGUGGCUAAUACCGCAUGAGAUCUACGGAUGAAAGCAGGGGAUCGCAAGACCUUUUGCUACUAAAGCGGCCGAUGGCAGAUUAGGUAGUUGGUGGGAUAAAAGCUUACCAAGCCGACGAUCCGUAGCUGGUCUGAGAGGACGAUCAGCCACACUGGGACUGAGACACGGCCCAGACUCCUACGGGAGGCAGCAGUGGGGAAUUUUGGACAAUGGGCGCAAGCCUGAUCCAGCAAUGCCGCGUGCAGGAUGAAGGCCUUCGGGUUGUAAACUGCUUUUGUACGGAACGAAAGGCCCUGGGUUAAUACCCUGGGGUCAUGACGGUACCGUAAGAAUAAGCACCGGCUAACUACGUGCCAGCCGCCGCCGUAACAC
rnacentral:rRNA from 1 species